rnacentral:lncRNA from 1 species
AAAAUAUUCCAUUUAUACUUAGAAGCCUCACAUUCUUUUUUCACUUUAUGUUCAACUAAACAUUACUUAGUAUAUCGAAGUAACUACCAUUAGUUAUUCAAAUAAUCAUACAGCUCGUGAAAUUUUACUACAUAUAAAUAUCACAGUUUAAGCUUAAACGGUCGAUCUUUCUCAUGUCCUACCUCUUCUGCGCAAUCUAUUGUUGGUGAACCAGCUGCGACAGUGCUUCUCUUUUUGAAGCUAAAGAUCGAUUUAGCCUAGUGUAUGCAUCAAUAUAUAAGGUGUCAUAUAAGUUCAUACCGAUAUACUGAAAGGUUAAUUUUAAUGUGAUAUAUCUGUGUCAUACCUCAUUUUGGAGUGAUAGUAUAAACGCCCUUGACCUCCAUGCAUUAGCAUUUCGAUCUAUUUCUCUUUAUAAUGUGUAAAAGGACCCAGCUCACUUGGAGUCGCUUACCGAGUUUACUGUAUUGCAGUGUGCCCCACUACUCUGAAA